rnacentral:piRNA from 1 species
UGAGCCAAGCGAUGAAGCCCUUCCUCGGGAU